GGAGAAAUGGCUUAGCGGUUGAGAGCACUGGCUACUAUUCCAGAGGACCUGGGUUCAAUUCCCAGCACCC
rfam:Cricetulus griseus cell line CHO-K1, whole genome shotgun sequence.